rnacentral:rRNA from 1 species
UACAGCGGGUGCAAGCGUUAAUCGGAGUUACUGGGCGUAAAGGGCGCGUAGGCGGUAAGUUAAGUUGGAUGUGAAACCCCUGGGCUUAACCUAGGACGUGCAUUCAAGACUGGUUUACUAGAGUACUGUAGAGGGUAGUGGAAUUUCCGGUGUAGCGGUGAAAUGCGUAGAGAUCGGAAGGAACAUCAGUGGCGAAGGCGGCUACCUGGACAGAUACUGACGCUUAAGCGCGAGAGCGUGGGGAGCAAACAGG